CAUGUAACAAUGGGAUGGCUGGGUACAAAGUGGUUGAGCACGUCCAGGUGUCCAACCCAACAGAGAGGUGUGGCCCCCUCCAGCAGCUCUACAUAUCUACAAUAGGAUGUGGCCACCACGGGUGCUGCAGCCAUGCCACGCAGAUCUUGGGGAAAAACCGAGUAUCUUGGAGAUGUACAAAAGCGAUCAAGACAACAGGGUGUCCCAACAAGAGACCAGGACAAUCCACUUCAUUGUCAGAGUCUCUGGCCAGUAGGAAAUCGUAUGUUGUAUGACGUCUUGGAAAUCGCUUUACAUAGAUGAUCCCCACAACAUCUAGGGCUUGAUUCAGAGGUGGGCACAGAAGUGCCUGCAGCUGUGCCAAUUAGCGAUCGGCAUUAUAUGACUAUAAACGCUGCUGCAAAAUCCUUCCCUUAGAUUUGUGUGUGCAAGUAUUUAGACGCAAUAAUCGGUCGCACCAUUGAAACUUGCAUCAGCACUAUGGCAGGUGCAAUUCUUGUAUGACCUCCUAUGUUAGCAGUCAAGCAUCUAUAUACGCCACUACUUUCCCUGCCAUUCCCGCCACACUCCCGUAACACAUCCCUAAGAUGGACGACACUGUGCGUGCACUAAGUCACCGCCCAGGAACACCCACUACAUUUCCAUACCCAUCCCCGCGUGCACCUGAAAUUAGAACUGCGACUCUGCAUGGACACAAUCGGGACGCAUGUGCAGUGCGACAGAUUAAUGCGCAGUAGCAGAACAUCGCUUCACUCCGUCCGGCAUCAGCUGUGCACCCACUUCUAAUCAGCAAAAUGGUAUCUUAACUAUACUGAUCCUAAGGGUUUAUAUUAAAUGGGAUUUUACAUCCCACAGUUGUACCACUGCCCUGCAACCAGAGGCGCUUUAAGACAGGAGGGGACCUGUGUGCAGGCUCUGAUAGGGCCCCCUCUUAUCUGGUGGCACAGUAGACUCUGGCAUUGUGCUAGAGCUACUACACAUGUGCAGGUCUCCGGGAACAUGGCGCCCGUGCUGCAUUCCCAGGGACAUCUGUACUGCGCAUGCAUGAAUAAGUGAGGUAAUGGCCACGCCAGAGAGUGUCCCGGUGAUUUCUGCAGCCAGCGCCGGACCGAUGGAGCAUGUUUUGUAGGUCAGUGGACACAUCCUAAUACAAUGCAUUUUAUGUUAUAGCUGUAUAUAGCUUAUCAGCAGAAUAUAACAAUGAUGUGAAAUACUAUGUAUAACCCACAGGAUAACAAAUGUAGAUACAAGGCAUAGUUUGAGGAGCCGAUUAUUUGUGUAAAUGAAAUGGUGAAAUACAAAGACGUAACUGGGAUUUAAUGCACCGUGUUGGCCCUGUUCGCUUUGCAUCUGAUGUCAUGAUGUUGCGCAUAGGGGUCGGGACCAGCCACAACCCAGAUGUACGGAGCUGCCUAGAAGAUGAUCCGUUCAGCUGUACACAUGCCACUGUGCUUGCCUCCAAGCACCCUGCUAGCUUGAUUCAGCAGCGGUACCAAGCGCGCACCCCUAGUUACGGCCUUCAUGAAAUAAAUGAAAAAAAGAUUUAAAA